UACGGGGGGGCAAGCGUUGUUCGGAAUUACGUGGCGUAAAGGGCUCGUAGGCGGCCAACUAAGUCGGAUGUGAAAUCCCCAGGCCUUAACCUGGGAACUGCAUCCGAUACUGGUCGGCUUGAAUCCGGGAGAGGGAUGCAGAAUUCCAGGUGUAGCGGUGAAAUGCGUAGAUAUCGUGGAGGAAUACCGGUGGCGAAGGCGGCAUCCUGGACCGGCAUUGACGCUGAACGCGAA
rnacentral:rRNA from 1 species